GACGAACGCUGGCGGCGUGCUUAAUACAUGCAAGUCGAACGCAGUGGGGACGGGUGAGUAAAACGUGGGUAACCUCCCCAUCAGAGGGGAUAACACUUGGAAAUAGGUGCUAAACCGAUACUGGUGGAUGUCCUUGCGGAGGAUUAGCUAGUCGGUGGGGUAACGGCUCACCAAGGCCACGAUGCGUAGCCGAUCUGAGAGGGUGAUCAGCCACACUGGGACUGAGACACGGCCCAGACUCCUACGGGAGGCAGCAGUGGGGAAUCGUAGACAAUGGGCGAAAAUCUGACCGAGCGAGGCCGCGUGUAUGAAGAAGGCUUUCGGGUCGUAAAGCACUGUUGUUAGAGAAGCGGUAUCUAACCAAUAAGCACCGGCUAACUACGUGCCAGCCGCCGCGGUAAUAC
rnacentral:rRNA from 1 species